AUUGAACGCUGGCGGCAGGCUUAACACAUGCAAGUCGAGCGAGCGGCGGACGGGUGAGUAAUGUCUGGGAAACUGCCUGAUGGAGGGGGAUAACUACUGGAAACGGUAGCUAAUACCGCAUACCAUCAGAUGUGCCCCGAUGGGAUUAGCUAGUAGGUGGGGUAAUGGCUCACCUAGGCGACGAUCCCUAGCUGGUCUUAGUGGAUGAAGAGCGACAUGGGAACGGAGGCACGGUCGAGAGGCGGACGGGAGUCAGCAGAGGGGAAUAUUGAACGAUGGGCGAAAGCCUGAUACAGCCAUGCCGCGUGUGUGAAGAAGGCCUGCGGGUUGUAAAGAACUUGCAGCGAGGAGGCGUUACUCGCAGAAGAAGCACCGGCUAACUCCGUGCCAGCAGCCGCGGUAAUUC
rnacentral:rRNA from 1 species